UCCGGCGUGGUCUAGUGGCUAGGAUACCUGGCUUUCACCCAGGAGGCCCGGGUUCGAUUCCCGGCGUCGGAG
rnacentral:tRNA from 2 species